GGGCGAAUGGCGGAACUGGCAGACGCACAGGACUUAAAAUCCUGAAACUUGCAAAAGUUGUGAGGGUUCGAUUCCCUCUUCGCCCA
rnacentral:tRNA from 1 species